rnacentral:lncRNA from 1 species
CAAUCUCUGAAGUCGGUCUUGGUAUGAACUCUAAAGUCGGUCUUGGUAUGGCCCCCAAGCCAAAAAUGGUACUGGUGUAAUAUGGUACGCCCAGUUUGGGACGGUACACAACGGUAUGGGAAUCAUGUUUCCUAGUUUAUUUUGCAAAAUAUAACUCCCACCCUACCUAAAGGUUAAAGCCAAAGGUGCUACCAUAAUAUAUUGAAGAAUAUUUUGUUAGUUCAACAAAUAACCUUUCUGCACUGCUAACCACAACUUGAUGACUAUUUUUCUUUUUAUAAGCAGCUUCCAGAAAAACAAGCCCAAUACAGAUAAGAAAUGCCAACAAGCUAGGCAAAUGCGUUAAAAAAUGGGAUUUGUAGUAGGACUAAAGAAAGCGCUAAGGGAGGACAAGGAGUGAAGUACAGAUAAAAAUAGUAUAAUCAUGUCUAAAUAAAAUUCUAUGGGCAUAGCAAGGCUCAAAAGGAAGAGGGAUUUCACUUGUUUACAAGAAUUGAUUCUAAAGAGAGAGAAUUUGAGAAAACUGGACUACAUUAGAAAUUAAGAAGCCUGAAAAUGUUCUUGAGACAAUAAUUCUUCAUAAAAGUCAUGCAUACUUUACCCAAAUGCAUUGGACAAUGUCCUGUCAAUUACAUUUAUGUUGACAGACAUAUCUCCUGCCAAAUCCCUUCCAUUAUGCAACAACUAAUUUCUCACACAGUCUAAUUAUAGAAGCCAAUAACAUAAGGAACUCCCAUAAGAGAUGAGAUAGAUAGAGACAGACACUGACAGACAGACAGAAAGGAAAAGGGAAAAACAGAAAACAUACCUACAGUAAACUUAAUUCCUGUUCAUUUUGUAAACGAACAAUCCUUGCUGGUGAUUUCCAAACAAUUAAUAAUAUAUCAAAUACAGCACGAUUACCAUGCAAACAUUCAGGCAUUAAUUCAGUACUUGUGUAUGUUUGUCACACUGAAAAAAGUUAUGAUAGAAACAUAUAGCUAGAUGAAAAAUUUGCUAGUUAGCUUCUUGUCAAUGCCUGUAGCCAUGCAUGCAUAUGAAUAAAUAUGAAAUCUUUACAAAAAUUAUGCAAGCAAACCGUGUCAAACACCAUCAAGAAAAAUCACAUCUAUGAGAAGGCUCCUACAAUCCCAA